GAUGAACGCUGGCGGCGUGCCUAAUACAUGCAAGUCGAGCGAACAGACGAGGAGCUUGCUCCUCUGACGUUAGCGGCGGACGGGUGAGUAACACGUGGAUAACCUACCUAUAAGACUGGGAUAACUUCGGGAAACCGGAGCUAAUACCGGAUAAUAUAUUGAACCGCAUGGUUCAAUAGUGAAAGACGGUUUUGCUGUCACUUAUAGAUGGAUCCGCGCCGCAUUAGCUAGUUGGUAAGGUAACGGCUUACCAAGGAGACGAUGCGUAGCCGACCUGAGAGGGUGAUCGGCCACACUGGAACUGAGACACGGUCCAGACUCCUACGGGAGGCAGCAGUAGGGAAUCUUCCGCAAUGGGCGAAAGCCUGACGGAGCAACGCCGCGUGAGUGAUGAAGGUCUUCGGAUCGUAAAACUCUGUUAUUAGGGAAGAACAAAUGUGUAAGUAACUAUGCACGUCUUGACGGUACCUAAUCAGAAAGCCACGGCUAACUACGUG
rnacentral:rRNA from 1 species